AUUCCUGGUUUAAAUCUGAAUGCCUUGGGUCUGUUCCCACCCACUUCAGGGAUGCCACCUCCCACCUCAGGGCCCCCUUCAGCAAUGACGCCUCCCUACCCACAGUUUGAGCAAUCAGAAACGGAGACUGUGCAUCUGUUCAUCCCAGCCCUAUCAGUUGGCACCAUUAUCGGCAAGCAGGGCCAGCACAUCAAACAGCUUUCUCGCUUUGCAGGAGCUUCAAUUAAGAUUGCUCCAGCUGAAGCGCCUAAUGCUAAAGUGAGGAUGGUGAUCAUCACUGGACCACCAGAGGCUCAGUUCAAGGCUCAGGGAAGAAUUUAUGGAAAAAUUAAAGAAGAAAAUUUUGUUAGUCCUAAAGAAGAAGUGAAACUUGAAGCUCAUAUCAGAGUGCCAUCCUUUGCUGCUGGCAGAGUUAUUGGAAAAGGAGGCAAAACGGUGAAUGAACUCCAGAAUCUGUCAAGUGCUGAGGUUGUUGUCCCUCGUGACCAGACACCUGAUGAGAAUGACCAAGUGGUUGUCAAAAUAACUGGUCACUUCUAUGCUUGCCAGGUUGCCCAGAGAAAAAUUCAGGAAAUUCUGACUCAGGUAAAGCAGCACCAACAGCAGAAGGCUCUGCAAAGUGGACCACCUCAGUCAAGGCGGAAGUGAAGGCUCAGGACAAGCCCACCACAGAGGCAGAGGCCAAACCAAAGACAGAUUGCUUAACCAACAGACGGACUUUGCCCCAUCCAGAACCACAUGCACAAGUCGUUACCUAGCCAGUUGUUUCUGAGGACCAGGCAACUUUUGAACUCCUGUCUCUGUGAGAAUGUAUACUUAUGCUCUCUGAAAUGUUUGACACCCAGCUUUAAAAA